ACAAAAUCCUGUUCCAUCCUUUGUUUCUGACACUCUGUUAGCUGAAGAUAGGUGACCUCAAUUUUUCUGUGGAUCAUAGUAUAUGAGUACUAAUAACGAAUAUUAAGGGAUAACAGGAAGGCUGGUAUUGCCAACACCUACUAGAAGGUCAAGACCUGCUGGCUCAACGAUUUCAACUCCGUGACGUCAUGAAGAGAAGGCAAUAGCGUCUGUAGCUCUAACAUAGGAACGCCAUUGACGAGAGCAGUUUACACGUGAAUGUUGCAGCAAAAUUUGAUUUUAUAUCGAAGAUUUAAAGAGAUAUCGAAGCUUCAAGCAUGAUUUAUGCUUGUUGUGUUCUCUUGUGUGGAGGGAACUAUGAUGAUAAUCACAAGGUAUUUCGUUUCCCCCAAGACACACAACUGCAGCAAUUGUGGUGUGAUUCAUUUAUGUAAAAAAUAUUUAAAAUUUGUAUUUAACUUUUAACUAAGAAUAUUUGUUUAAAUUAAUAAAGAUUUAUUAUAUGUUUAAAUUAACAAGGAUUAUCACUUUUAAAAUGCUUUCCUUAAGUAGAUUGUUUUUCAUCACCCCUUUUAAAAAUAAAUAUAUAAUUAUCAUUGUGAAUUGUAAGAUGAUUAAUAGGAUGUCUUAUAUCAAGACUUUUAAAAAUAAAUAUUUAAUUACUAACAUAAAUUGUAAAAUGAUUAAUAGGAAGGUCAUAGGAAUUUAAACCUUCAAUUUAAUCUAAUGUUUUUAAAGUUUUAAAAAUGUAUUGUAAACAAUAGUCUUUUUUUCAUGAACUUCUUGUUUACUUUCAAAACUUUUCUUAGUCUUAAUUAUUGGGUGAUGUAAUGCAACAACUUUGCAUUAUUUACAUUAUAUUUUGUGGUAUAUUUCAUCAGAAACUGCAAUUUUAAGA